UACGUAGGGUGCAAGCGUUACUCGGAAUUACUGGGCGUAAAGCGUGCGCAGGCGGUGAUGUAAGACAGUUGUGAAAUCCCCGGGCUCAACCUGGGAACUGCAUCUGUGACUGCAUCGCUGGAGUACGGUAGAGGGGGAUGGAAUUCCGCGUGUAGCAGUGAAAUGCGUAGAUAUGCGGAGGAACACCGAUGGCGAAGGCAAUCCCCUGGACCUGUACUGACGCUCAUGCACGAAAGCGUGGGGAGCAAACAGG
rnacentral:rRNA from 1 species